rnacentral:rRNA from 1 species
GACAGAGGUGCCGAGCGUUAUGCGGAAUCACUGGGCUUAAAGCGUGCGUAGGCGGAUCCGUAAGUCCCUUGUGAAAUUCCACGGCUCAACUGUGGGCUUGCGGGCGAUACGGGCAGGCUGGAGUUCGGUAGGGGAGACUGGAAUUCCUGGUGUAGCGGUGAAAUGCGCAGAUAUCAGGAGGAACACCGGUGGCGAAGGCGGGUCUCUGGGCCGAUACUGACGCUGAGGAGCGAAAGCGUGGGGAGCGAACAGG